GAUUUCAAAGUUUGCAUAUCUCAUACAUUGAACAUGCUUAAGGGUUGAGAAAGUGUGCACACUUUUAAUUUCUUUUGUAUAAAAUGUUUUAUAUCAUUAAUCAAUGUACUAUCUUUACUUUGCAUAUCUUUUGUGAAUAAGAUAAAAGUAAUUUUAAUUUCUAAAAUUUAUAUACUAUUUUGAAUUAUCAGAUUCUGCUAGUUUUUUU
rnacentral:lncRNA from 1 species